CCCUUAGAUGUUCUGGGCUGCACGCGCGCUACACUGAUGCGUUCAACGAGUUUAUGACCUUGCCCGAUAGGGUUGGGUAAUCUUUUUAAAUCGCAUCGUGAUGGGGAUAGAUUAUUGCAAUUAUUAAUCUUCAACGAGGAAUUCCUAGUAAGCGCGAGUCAUCAGCUCGUGCUGAUUACGUCCCUGCCCUUUGUACACACCGCCCGUCGCACCUACCGAUUGAAUGGUCCGGUGAAUCUUUAGGACUGUGGCUGAGGCCUUGCCUUGUGCGGGUCUGGCCGUGGGAAUUUAGUUAAACCUUACCAUUUAGAGGAAGGUGAAGUCGUAACA
rnacentral:rRNA from 1 species